rnacentral:rRNA from 1 species
GAUGAACGCUAGCGGCAGGCCUAAUACAUGCAAGUCGAACGGUGUAGCAAUACACAGUGGCGCACGGGUGCGUAACACGUAUGCAACCUACCUUACAUUGGGGGAUAGCCUUUCGAAAGGGAGAUUAAUACCGCAUAAGACAGUAACUAGGCAUCUAGUAGCUGUUAAAGAUUUAUCGAUGUAAGCUGGGCAUGCGUCCAAUUAGUUAGUUGGCGAGGUAAUGGCUCACCAAGACGAUGAUUGGUAGGGGAACUGAGAGGUCAAUCCCCCACACAGGCACUGAGAUACGGGCCAGAAUCCUACGGGAGGCAGCAGUAGGGAAUAUUGGGCAAUGGGCGCAAGCCUGACCCAGCCAUGCCGCGUGCAGGAAGAAGGCGUUAUGCGUUGUAAACUGCUUUUAUACAGGAAGAAACGACCCUUGCGAGGGGCAUUGACGGUACUGUAUGAAUAAGCACCGGCUAACUCCGUGCCAGCCGCCGCAGUAAAAC